GAAGAGAUGAUUAAGGCAUUCUUUGAUACAACAUCACUAAGCCUUAGCCACCCUUAAUUAAAAUAAAUAUCCAUUGCAGUCAAUUUGAGCCUAUAUUUUUACCCAUAUAAUAUUUCUUGGUUACCCACAUUAUUCACCUAGCCCUUAGCCUAAACACCUAUCCUACCCUUUUAAGGAAGCUAAGUGCAUAAAUGAGAAGUAUACUAAAUGCCAAAGACGAUAUAGAGCAAGGGUGCAAAGCUUAGAAGAAAGUGCAAGUGUGCAAUUGAAAUCAAAGAAAAAUUUGCCUUUCCAACCCAGCAAAAGCAAUGAGUUUGGGGGAGAGGACAAAAAGGACAUAGAAAAAAAAAGAGAAAAAAGAGAAGUCCUAAAAUAAAUAUCAAAGAAGCAUGCUUGACACUAGAAAAACCAAAGCCCCUCCUCUCUAUACAAAAUUAGUAGAAUAAAUUUAGCAUACUUGGUAU
rnacentral:misc_RNA from 1 species